rnacentral:rRNA from 1 species
CCUACGGGUGGCAGCAGUGGGGGAUAUUGCACAAUGGGGGAAACCCUGAUGCAGCGACGCCGCGUGGGUGAAGAAGUAUUUCGGUAUGUAAAGCCCUAUCAGCAGGGAAGAAAGAAGACGGUACCUGACUAAGAAGCCCCGGCUAACUACGUGCCAGCAGCCGCGGUAAUACGUAGGGGGCGAGCGUUAUCCGGAUUCACUGGGUGUAAAGGGAGCGUAGACGGCCGUGCAAGCCAGGAGUGAAAGCCCGGGGCCCAACCCCGGGACUGCUCUUGGAACUGUGCGGCUGGAGUGCGGGAGGGGCAGGCGGAAGUCCUGGUGUAGCGGUGAAAUGCGUAGAUAUCAGGAGGAACACCGGCGGCGAAGGCGGCCUGCUGGACCGCGACUGACGUUGAGGCUCGAAAGCGUGGGGAGCGAACAGGAUUAGAUACCCGGGUAGUC